GAGCUCACAUCUCUGAGCCUCUGACAACCCGGGAUGAAAGGGAAACCUCCAGCACGUGUGCAUUCCCAGUGCUUCAGCAAGCAGAGACCAAGAGCUUCUCCUGACUCAAUCAGGCUCAUUUAACAGUUUGGAGCAAAAAAUGAGCCGGCUUCACCGUUUAUCCCGAUCCGGACAGGAAUAGAAUGUUGUGGCUGCUGUUAACACAUCGACAUUUACCAUACGAUCUUCCCCGGCCUUACCGCGGUGUUUUGUGGACGCUGCCUUGGAGGCUCAACGCAUCUGGCAGCAGCUCUUCACACAGCGGUGACUGGAAACAUUUGGAAGGAAAAGCCAUCCUUUUUCUGGGGGUGAAAUGUCCAAAGUAGACAGAAUAAAAAGUCAAGUUAAUUAUCUACCUACAUUAGGUCAUGGAAAGCUUCCCUGGGAGCCCACCGAGACCCAGCGCACUCCCAUCUUUUUUCUGUUUAGCAGGCUAAAAUGGAAGAAGAGGAUGUGAGAGGGAGGAAUAAGAGCUUAAUGACAGUGUCUGUUGAUCAUCAACGCGAGAAAAAUUAAUUGCUUCCCUGAACCUGAAAAAUAUCAAACUGCAUAAAUAAAUAUAUUUAAAUUAUUAAUAAAUGAAUUUACAUUUGGA